GCACUCCACAGAGCUGGUGGGAGCUGGGAAUAGGUGAAAACCCUGCCUCCUUGUGAGUUGGCAGGACGGGAGCCUCCUGUUCCCUGGCUGCUGUUGUGGCCACCGAGCCGCAGCCCUGGAGCCAGGCAUCCCUGUGCUUGGGGAUCAGAGCGAGCAGGAGCAGAUCCUCUCCCUUCUGGGUGCAGCUGCAGCUGCCCAGCCAUGGCUGUGGUCCCGGAAGUCUCUGUGCUCUUGGGAGCUGGGAGGGCCCUCUGCCUCCUGCCCCUUACGCACUCCAGAGUCUCCUCUCUGUUGAGAGCUAAGCAGACAUCAGGACUACCAGCUGCAGAGAGGAGCUACCCACUGUGGGCUUCGUCUCUGCUGAGAGCUGAACACUCACUGGGACGCCCUGCCUAUGGAAACCAGCUGUUCACUCUGGGUCUCCUCUGAGCUGUUCUGUCGCUCAGUAAAGGUCUUCUUCUGCUUACUCGCCCUCCAUUUGUCUGCCUUACCUCAUUCAUCCUGGACACAGGACAAGAACUUGGGACUUGCCGGUAUGGUGGAGCUAAAAUAGCUGUAACACAAACAGGAUUGAAACAUGCCCCUUGCUCGCCACAUUGUGGAUGACAAGAGGGAGGGAAGAAAGGAGAGAAGAUCUGCGACCCUUCGGCAAACCCAGACUUAGGAGAUCGGAGAGCCAAGACUGUGACACCCUUUCUGGGGCUCUGUGGUUCCUGGCGUCUCCAAGCUUCUGGGCACCUCGGCUUUCCCCGGUGCCAGUCGUGGAAGCUGCUUGUGUGUUAGCAGUCACUGAUGCUCAAACAUGAGAAGACUGGGACAUCCAUCAGAUAAGAAACGCUGCCCAAAGUGUUAGACUAAUAAGUGACAGGGUUGGACAAUGAACCCAACCACUCAACCUUCCGGAAAAGUGAGUUUUAAACAAUAGAUUAUGCUAAUCUUAUCAGAAAAAAACGACAUUGUCCGGGCACGGUGGCUCACGCCUGUAAUCCCAGCACUUUGGGAGGCCAAGGCGGGCGGAUCAUGAGGUCAGGAGAUGGAGACCAUCCUGGCUAACACGGUGAAACCCCGUCUCUGCUAAAAAUACAAAAAAUUAGCCGGGAGUGGUGGCGGGUGCCUGUAGUCCCAGCUACUUGGGAGGCUGAGGCAGGAGAAUGGCAUCCACCCGGGAGGCGGAGCUUGCAGUGAGCAGAGAUCGCACCACUGCACUCCAGCCUGGGCGACAGAGUGAGACUCGAUUUCAAAAAAAAAAAAAAAAAGAAAAAGAAAA
rnacentral:lncRNA from 1 species